GAGUCACAAUCAAUACUCCAAAUUUCUCUUCGACUCCUUCUUCCCUCUCGUCAAGCCAUCGAGCCCCUCUUCUUCCUCACGAGCUCUUGUUCUUCCCUCUCAUCGAACCUUUUUUAUCCAUCCCUUCUUCUCUAGCCUCCAUUGAAAUCCUAACCUCCACUACAAACGCCUCUUUCGUGUUACCCUCUCCUCGAACCCUAGCCGCUACCCCGUGCUCCAUUACAAGGUUGAGGGGACUGGAGACCGCUCCACCAGUCAUGCCUCCUCGUUGGCUCUCCCCUUGAAACCCUAACUCAUUCUUAGACUCACGUGGAGACGACUGGAAUGGUAGCGUCGAAGUCUCGCUCACGCUCACUCAAAGAGAAGAAGUUCGUCCAUUCUUCUCGUGUUCACUCACCUUCUCCGGAGAGUUAUUCUUUCAAUCGUUGAUUUUGAUGCAUAGAGCUUCUGAAAUGUGAAAGACGGUGAUGGAACUAUUCCUAGGCCAAACCAUGGAAGUGAGAGUGCAAAAGAAGAAGAGAGAGACCGGAGAGUGGGUCGCCGUUGAUGCCAAGACCAAACCCCUCUUGGAGCUCCAAACCCAUUUUGUUGAUUUGAACUUAGAAUACAGAUGUUCACUUCAAUACUUAAGUAUUUGUGGUUUGAUCAUAUAUAUAUUUGCAGGUUGAAGGUGAGGUCCAGCGAUUAAAUGUUGCAAAGUCAGUAAGAUGAAACAUUUGAUGUUUAAGAGGCAGAAUGAGCUUAAAGAAUUUUACAGAGGAGUUCACAUGGAUUUCGAUAGUGAAUUUGCAAGACAGAUUUUGACUAGUCUCAUUGAAUGUGGAUUAGGUUAAUGAGGCUUUAAAGAGAAAGAGUGGAGCCAAUUUGUUUGCAGUUGUGAUUUGCUUCCAGCAGCAACUUCCUUGCAACUUAGUGGCCCCUCGCUCUAGAGUGCACCGGAGCUUCUCUACUUAUGGUUUGAAGGAAUUACAGAGUUUCCUUGAUAACUUGGGUAGCUGCACAGAACAUGGCAUGGACCUUUCGGGUUCUCCUUCCUCCGUGCUUAGUCUCUUUUUGGGUUCUCCUUCCUCUCUAUUUGUUAAGGCAGAAUUGAAUAUGCAAGAUCUUAAAAGUGUCCUAGUGCAUAAUCUUUUGGAGAAGAGCAUGGUGGAAAGAAUGAUAAGUGUUCCUCAGCAAAAGUUUUCGAACUUGGCUUCACAUUUUUGCAACAAUGGCAGGCAUUGCCACAAGGCCUUUACAAUCAAAUGCAUCAUCAUCAAGACUUUUCUAUACACUUGGUAAAUCUUGUACUCAACAAUACAAGUUAGUGGUGUUUCAAACACUGGUGGAACAAUUCUUAGAUAGUUUUUCACAGAUAACUAAUUGUAUAAGUAGUUUAAUUUACUAUUACAUUUGCCAUAUUAUGAAUUGUACUAUUUAUUUAUGACUAUUAUACAUUUUAUAAAUUUAAUUCACAGUC